rnacentral:lncRNA from 1 species
GGCAUUAGAUCCAACAUGUAUAAUAAUUUCCACUGGUCAAGGAAGAGAUUAUAAAUGACCUUACUCGAGACAAUACUUAUUGGUGGAUGAUUGUUUAUGGCAUGGGAGUGGUUAUAUCAUUGCUUGCAUAAGAGAAUAAGCUUGAAGAGGCAAGUUUAGUGAAGCGAACCUGAUUAGGUAAACCUUGUAAAAGUGAGCUUGAAGAAGCAAGCUUGAAAGCCUUAUGAGGUGAGCUUGGAAGAGUGGGCCUAAUAAUGUGACCUUUAUAGGAGAAAACUUGAAAAGUUGAGCCAUAUAAGAGUAGAGGUGAGUUUUCUAAAACUAAGCAUAAAGAGGCAAGCUUUAUAUAAAUGAUCUUGAAGAGGCAAGGUUGUACGAUCUUGGGUUUGUAGACCUUUGUAAGGACUUCUCUUGCAUUUAGAAGAACUAGUAACCAACGAGUUGCCUGAAGCACGUUUGGAUGACUGUGAUAUGGUAGUUUC